rnacentral:lncRNA from 1 species
UAUAUUUGUUUGUCUAUUUACUCUGAGUAGUCAGGUCCAGACCAUGUUUUGUUGUUGUUGUAUUUGUUUGUCUAUUUACUCUGAGUAGUCAGGUCCAGACCAUGUGUUGUUAGUUGUUAUAUUUGUUUGUCUAUUUACUCUGAGUAGUCAGGUCCAGAACAUGUGUUGUUAGUUGUUAUAUUUGUUUGUCUAUUUACUCUGAGUAGUCAGGUCCAGAUAAUGUGUUGUUAGUUGUUAUAUUUGUUUGUCUAUUUACUCUGAGUAGUCAGGUCCAGACCAUGUGUUGUGUGUUGUUGUAUUUGUUUGUCUAUUUACUCUCAGUAGUCAGGUCCAGACCAUGUGUUGUGUGUUGUUGUAUUUGUAUGUCUAUUUACUCUGAGUAGUCAGGUCCAGACCAUGUGUUGUGUGUUGUUAUAUUUGUUUGUCUAUUUACUCUGAGUAGUCAGGUCAGGUCCAGACCAUGUGUUGUUUGUUGUUGUAUUUGUUUGUCUCUGAGUAGUCAUGUCCAGAUAAUGUGUUGUUAGUUGUUAUAAUUGUUUGUCUAUUUACUCUGAGUAGUCAGGUCCAGACCAUGUGUUGUGUGUUGUUAUUUGUUUGUCUAUUUACUCUGAGUAGUCAGGUCCAGACCAUGUGUUGUUAGUUGUUAUAUUUGUUUGUCUAUUUACUCUGAGUAGUCAGGUCAGGUCCAGACCAUGUGUUGUUGUUGUUGUAUUUGUUUGUCUCUGAGUAGUCAGGUCCAGAUAAUGUUUUGUUAGUUGUUAUAUUUGUUUGUCUAUUUACUCUGAGUAGUCAGGUCCAGACCAUGUGUUGUGUGCUGUUGUAUUUGUUUGUCUAUUUACUCUGAGUAGUCAGGUCCAGACCAUGUGUUGUUUGUUGUUGUAUUUGUUUGUCUAUUUACUCUGAGUAGUCAGGUCCAGACCAUGUGUUGUUUGUUGCUAUAUUUGUUUGUAUAUUUACUCUGAGUAGUCAGGUCAGGUCCACACCAUGUGUUGUUAGUUGUUAUAUUUGUUUGUCUAUUUACUCUGAGUAGUCAGGUCCAGACCAUGUGUUUUUUGUUGUUAUAUUUGUUUGUCUAUUUACUCUCAGUAGUCAGGUCCAGACCAUGUGUGGUGUGUUGUUAUAUUUGUUUGUCUAUUUACUCUGAGUAGUCAGGUCCAGACCAUGUGUUGUGUGUUGUUAUAUUUGUUUGUCUAUUUACUCUGAGUAGUCAGGUCCAGAUCAUGUGUUGUGUUGUUAUAUUUGUUUGUCUAUUUACUCUGAGUAGUCAGGUCCAGAUCAUGUGUUGUUAGUUGUAUGUUUGUUUGUCUAUUUACUCUGAGUAGUCAGGUCCAGGCCAUGUGUUGUUGUUGUUAUAUUUGUUUGUCUAUUUACUCUGAGUAGUCAGGUCCAGACCAUGUGUUGUUAGUUGUAUAUUUGUUUGUCUAUUUACUCUCAGUAGUCAGGUCAGGUCCAGACCAUGUGUUGUUUGUUGUUGUAUUUGUUUGUCUGAGUAGUCAGGUCCAGAGUGUUGUGUUGUUGUAUUUGUUUGUCUAUUUACUCUGAGUAGUCAUGUCAGGUCCAGACCAUGUGUUGUUAGUUGUUAUAUUUGUUUGUCUAUUUACUCUGAGUAGUCAGGUCCAGACCAUGUGUUGUGUGUUGUUAUAUUUGUUUGUCUAUUUACUCUGAGUAGUCAGGUCCAGACCAUGUGUUGUAAGUUGUUAUAUUUGUUUGUCUAUUUACUCUAAGUAGUCAGGUCCAGAUCAUUUUUGUGUGUUGUUGUAUUUGUUUGUCUAUUUACUCUGAGUAGUCAGGUCCAGACCAUGUGUUGUUUGUUGUUAUAUUUGUUUGUCUAUUUACUCUGAGUAGUCAGGUUAGGUCCAGACCGUGUGUUGUGUGUUGUUAUAUUUGUUUGUCUAUUUACUCUGAGUAGUCAGGUCAGUUCCAGUCCAUGUGUUGUGUGUUGUCAUAUUUGUUUGUCUAUUUUCUCUGAGUAGUCAGGUCAGGUCCAGACUGUGUGUUGUGUUGUGAUAUUUGUAUGUCUAUUUACUCUGAGUAGUCAGGUCAGGACCAGACCAUCAGUUGUGUUGUGAUAUUUGUUUGUCUAUUUACUCUGAGUAGUCAGGUCCAGACCAUGAGUUGCGAUAUUUGUUUGUCUAUAUACUCUGAGUAGUCAGGUGAGGUCCAGACCAUGAGUUGUGAUAUUUGUUUGUCUAUUUACUCUGAGUAGUCAGGUCAGGUCCAGACCAUGAGUUGUUAUAUUUGUUUGUAUAUUUACUCUGAGUAGUCAAGUCAGGUCCAGACCAUGAGUUGUGAUAUUUGUUUGUCUAUUUACUUUUAGUAGUCAGGUCCAGACUAUGUGUUGUUUGUUGUUACAUUUGUUUGUAUAUUUACUCGAGUAGUCAGGUCAGGUCCAGGCCAUGUGUUGUUUGUAGUUAUAUUUGUUCGUCUAUUUAAUUUUGAGAAGUCAGGUCCAGAUCAUGUGUUGUGUGUUGUUACAUUUGUUUGUUUAUUUACUCGGAGUAGUCAGGUCAGGUCCAGACCAUGUGUUACAGUGUGUUGUUACAUUUGUUUGUCUAUUUACUAUGAGUAGUCAGGUCCAGAUCAUGUGUUGUGUGUUAUUACAUUUGUUUGUAUACUUACUCUAAGUAGUCAGGUCAGGUCCAGACCAUGUGUUGUGUGUUGUUACAUUUGUUUGUCUAUUUACUCAGAGUAGUCAGGUCCAGACCAUGUGUUGUUUGUUGUUAUAUUUGUUUGUUUAUUUACUCUGAGUAGUUAGGUCAGGUCCAUGCCUUGUGUUGUGUGUUGUUAUAUUUAUUUGUCUAUUUACUCUGAGUAGUCAGGUCCAGACCAUGUGUUGUUUGUUGUUAUAUUUGUUUGUUUAUUUACUCUGAGUAGUCAGGUCAGGUCCAUGCCAUGUGUUGUGUGCUGUCAUAUUUGUUUGUCUAUUUACUCUGAGUAGGCAGGUCCAGGCCAUGUGUUGUGUGUUGUUAUAUUUAUUUGUCGAUUUACUCUGAGUAGUCAGGUCAGGUCCAUACCAUGUGUUGUGUGUUGUUAUAUUUAUUUGUCUAUUUACUCUGAGUAGUCAGGUCAGGUCCAGACCAUGUGUUGUUUGUUGUUAUAUUUAUUGUCUAUUUACUCUGAGUAGUCAGGUCAGGUCCAGACCAUGUGUUGUGUGUUGUUAUAUUUUUUGUCUAUUUACUCUGAGUAGUCAGGUGCAGA